GCCACUGUGGCUCAGUGGUAGAGCACGCCCAUGGUAAGGGCGCGGUCGCGGGUUCGAUUCCCGCCAGUGGCUCCA
rnacentral:tRNA from 1 species